rnacentral:rRNA from 1 species
UACGGAGGGUGCAAGCGUUAUCCGGAUUUACUGGGUUUAAAGGGUGUGUAGGCGGGCUGUUAAGUCAGUGGUGAAAUCUCCGGGCUCAACCCGGAAACUGCCAUUGAUACUAUCAGUCUUGAAUCUUGUUGAGGUAGGCGGAAUAUAUCAUGUAGCGGUGAAAUGCUUAGAUAUGAUAUAGAACACCGAUUGCGAAGGCAGCUUACUAAACAAGCAUUGACGCUGAGGCACGAAAAGCGUGGGGGAUCAAACAGG